rnacentral:rRNA from 1 species
ACGCUUGAAGUCAGUCUCAUUGGCCAGGGAUCAGCCUUGCUCUUGCACGGUGUACUUUCUGGUUGAUGGGUCAGCAUCAAUUUUGACUGCUGGAAAAAGGCUUGGGGAAUGUGACAGCUCUGGCUGUGUUAUAGACCCUUGUCAUAUACAGCAGUUGGGAUUGAGGAACUCAGCAUGCCGCAAGGCCGGGUUUCGACCACGUUCAUGCUUAGGAUGCUGGCAUAAUGGCUUUAAUCGACCCGUCUUGAAACACGGACCAAGGAGUC